CCAGGCUAAUUUUUGUAUUUUUAGUAGAGACAGGGUUUCACCAUGUUGGUCAGACUGGUCUCGAUCUCCUGGACCUGGUGAUUCACUGGCCUCGGCCUCCCAAAGUGCUGGGAUUACAGGCGUGAGCCACCCGGCAACUUUCAUUUCUUUAUUGACUGUUUUCUUAGGAAGUGUCCAUCGAAGCCUCCCAGACUCACCUUUUCAGACCUUGUGGAGCCCGCAGCAGAAGCAAAUAGGUCAGCCCAUUCUUGGGGAACCUGGGCCAGGGAGCCUUGUGAGUAAAGAGACCCAGGCCAGGUGCCUGGGUCAGGGAGCCCAGGGGGCCUCAGGACGCCAGGGGCACCAGCAAGCAAAGAUAGCCGACAGGUGCCAAGGAAUGAUGGGGGAGCAGGGGAGGUCCCAGGCCCAGUUCCCUCAGUCACGCCUCCCCUGGAGGGAACAGGUGCUGUCCCAGGCCUGGGGUCUGUCAUCUUUCCCCCAUCAGGAGGGGCCAUGUAGAAGGGCACACUUAGGAGUGAGGUGGGUGGCAGGGCCUCCAGGGACAGAGGCAGGUGGGAGAGGGAGGCAGGCUGGGGUCGGGAAGGGCCCCGGCUCUGGACACAAGAGAUCACAACUGCAGUUUUAUGUCCGGCAUGUUGGAUGAAUGAGUGACUAUACCCAUGGGACACACAUCCUAAGCACUCACUGACCAUGCCAGACAUGGGCCAGCAUGGAAAGAAGGACGCGGUUCCCAGCCCCAAGGAGCUCCCAGUGCAGGGGUCACCCCUGUUGCUGGCUUGUCCACCAGAACCUCAGCCCUGACCACAGCUUUCUUCCUUGCUUCUAAGCUGCCCUCUAGCACUCCAGCCCCUGAGGGAGCUGCUGGGAGCUAGAGCCGCAGGAGGCUGGCCCUGCACGCUGCCCUCCCUGAGGCUUCCUGAGACCAUGACCCCUGCUGCUCCCAGAAGCCUUGCUUGCUCCCUGGUUGGAGGAGAUCCUGGGUGAAUCCAACCUCUGGCUGAAUGGUGGGGAGGCAGGCCCACUUGCUUGCUGUGGCAGAGACAGAAAAGCCCUGGUCUGCAGGGAGGGGGAGUGGGGGCGAUGAGCAACAGGUGCGAGGCCCCUCGGAAGGCAGAAGCCCUUGGAGCAGGGAGGCUCACAGUGGGGCCCACUACAGAGGGAGGACCCAGGUGGGGAUGAGUGUGAGGCUCCCCCAGCUCUCACUCCUGGCUGGGGAUGGAAAACAGUGGGGUGGCCGGGGAGUGGGAGGAUCCUGAGGCCCUCUUUCCCUCUGGAGAAGGCCUUGGGGGCUGCAGGGGGCUCCAGGCUACCAGCAUCCAAAUCACCAAACCACACAGCUUUGGGGCAAUUCCAUGAAAUGUAACCACAGUACUUUGGUGAAUUUAGCUUAGAUUGUUGCUGUUUUUAAUAAACUAUGAGGCUACCUGACUGAUCUCUGUGGCUCCUAAAGAGGAGGAAAGGGACUGCGAGCAGGUGGGGAGAGGGAUUGAAUCAGUGUGGAUGCUUCCACGGCACGGAGCAGAAAACUCAACCCCAACAGCACCAAGGAAAAUGUCACAUGACAAGACCUCCUGAGGAAGGGAGCACCGGGGUUGACUAAUUUAGCAAUUCAGUGACAUUAUGGUGGGCCAUGCUCCUUCCACGAUUCAACUCUGCUCCCCACUCAGUGUGUUCGCUUUGUCCUCAGACUCACACUCCUCAUGGUCUCGAGAUGGCUGCCAGUGUUCCAAACAUCACACACAAAUGACACCAUAGAAGAGCACCUCUCCCUCUGUGUCUUUUUUAUCAGUGAGAAACCCUUCCCAAAGCAUGCUUCCCCUCACAUCUUAUGGGCCAGAAUUGUAUCACAGGCCCACCUCUAGAUCAAUCAUUGACGAAGAGCCAUGUUUGUCUUAGAAUAAUUAGGAUUUACCCUUGAGUCAUGGAGUGAGUGUGGACAACAGCAAAACUGAGUCUUACCAGGGAGGAAGACUGAGUGGGGGAUGCUGAAGAGGUGACCCGCCUCCAGGACAGCACAGGCUGGGGCCUUCGGAACCACAGUGUCCCAGGGCCUGUAAGACCCACACACACUGAAUGCAAGCAAGGCUGGAAGGCCAGCCCUUGUCUGGGCCCUUAGGGUGACCCAACAGCACACACCUGGGAACCACUGAUGCUGGGAGAGGGGACCCUGGCUGGGGCCAGCCUGCAAAGAUGAUGGCCAAGGAAGCUAUGUGAAUCUGGAGUCAGACAGGCUGGGCCCCUGGGCCCUUCUGGGCUAAUACGGUCCAGCACGGAGUGAUGCCUGCUCCUCAGUCUGGGUUCUGCAGACAUCUGUCAAAUGAGGCCCUGCAGGAAAUAAUAAAUACAGCCUGACAGGGCUGGCCUCAGCUCAGAUGCCUCUCUGGAAAAGCCCAGCUCAACAGGUGUCUCUCUCCUCCCAUGCUCCCAGUAAAGACAGGAUCUUCAUGGGAUGGUCAAUGAGGGAAAAGUCUGCAUCCUCGGGGACAGCAUCCACUUCCUGCCAAGGAAUCGUCUCAUUGUUUUACAGCCCAGCGUCUUCCCUGAGACUCAUGAGGCCCUCCCCUCAACUACGAGCGAGGCCACAAGGGAAGAGGCAGGAAUGGGCCCUGCCAGGGUCGUGUCUCCUCAUGUCAUUAGCUGCUGCUGAUGGAAAGUCGAAUGACCCUCGGUGGGAGGUGGUGUGAGGAGGAACACGCAGGCUGCUUACCUGGGCUGAAACGGGGCUGUUCCUUCUCAUCUCUGGCUGCAGUGUCAUUUGCUUUUUUUUUGGAAACAGAGUCUCACUCUGUUGCCCAGGCUGGAGUGCAAUGGCAUAAUCUCAGCUCACUGCAACCUCCACCUCCUGGGUUCAAGUGAUUUUCCUGCCUCAACCUCCCGAGUAGCUGAGACUACAAACCCAUGCCACCACCCCCAGCUAAUUAUUUGUAUUUUUAGGAGAGAUGGGGUUUUACGGUGUUAGCCAGGAUGGUCUUGAUCUCCUGACCUCAUGAUUCCGCCAGCCUCGGCCUCCCAAAGUGCUGGGGUUACAGGCAUGAGCCACCGCACCUAGCCGUCAUUUGCUUUUUAAGAGGAGCCCAGGAAGGCCACAUAACCGGCUCCAGACGGGGAAUGAACUUUGUAGCCUUCAGAUAUUUCAAGGUCAGCUCAGGCGGAGUAGUUGUGGAAAGUUCUUUUUAACUUUCAAAUUAUUUUUCUCAUCUAUGAGCUCAUUUGAUUCUCUUCACAGGCCUGGAAGACAGUGGACCCGGGGAUUUUUACUCAUUUGGCAGAUGAGAGAGCUGAGUGACUUGCCUGAGGUCCUGCUUUGGAAGAGUGAUAGCUCUGAGCUUAGAAUCCUCUGAGACCUAGGCUGUUCCACUGGACCAUUUGGGGUGCUCCUUUGAGGGUGAGCAGGCCUCCAAAUGGGAGGGGGCUUUCAGAGACCCAGGCCCUCCAACACCAAUGCCCAGAUGUCAUGAGACCCUUUCUGGAGGCAUCCAGCUGUCCUGUCAUUGGCAGAAGCUUCAUCCGAAAAGUUGGCAGACACGGUGUCGGUUGUGACAUGGUGAUUGAACUUAGUUCCCAAUGACGUGUUUGGUAUGGUGCAAGAUUGGGACUGGUCUUUAGCAAUAUAAUUGUAGAGGAUUGGUGGGGACAGAGGGUCACUGGUGCCUGGCAGAGCUGCCCAAGCGUUUUCAUCAAAAGUGAGGCAGGACUCCACCCAGCUGGCCCCAUGAAUAGAAAGGGCACACUGCCUAACUUUCUGGGACACCCAGAGCCGUGAGCCUCCCCGCCUGGCCCCGUAGCAGCUGUUGCAUCUGCUGAGCCCUCCUGAAGGAUGUGUGCUUCCCUUGACCACAGAAGGCAAGCCCAUUUCCAGGCAUCCUUGGUACCUAGUUGCCUGGGGAUGCCCCAGUUCCUGACAGGGCUGAGCCAGCCUCAGUUCUGCCAUAGGCAUGUGCUGGCCCCGUCUGGGUGGGUGAGGAUGGCGGCCCUUGGCUCCCUUGCUCAGAAGCCUCUUGCUUCCCUUCCCAGCCCCCAGGUCCAUGUGCCUGGGAAGCUGCUCCGAAACUGUCCUGGCCCCACUCCCCUCUAAACCUUUGACUCUGGGAAAGGCUCGUUCCAAAUGGACAGAACCUCCUUCGACUUUCACCUCGAAACUAGAAAUUGAAGUUUCAAUUUGCUGUUACAGCACCUGCAACUGGGAGUCUCCCCAUCCUAGAUCCCUCCCUCCAAGGGGCAGGAGGCAGCCCCAAGGUGCUCAGCGAGUGGAAGGUGUGGCUCUCAGACACCAAGGUCUUCCCAUGGGCCUGCCGAGAGGAGGAUGUGUUCCGGAGACACAGAGCAGGGUGCUUUGCCAGCUGAGGAUGCAAACUAGGGGGAAAUGAGCUGAAGCGACUCCAGGUCUCCGUCUUCUGUGCACCAGCAGGGACUCCUGUCCUCUCAUGGAAACUUGCCAUCCUGUGUCCCAUUGCCGAAGAUCACCUCACAGCUGAAAAAGGAGCCUGUGAUAAGCGUUCGGGAUUGAGCAGAUCGUACGUAUUUGCAAUGCUACUGGAGAUGGAGGGAGGAAAUGCCAUAGCCCAGUGGAAUGAACAGCAUGGGUGAUGUGGCUCAUGGCAGAGAGACGGGCGGGGGAGGGCAGGGGCCAAGUCGUUCCUUCACCACCCUCACUCCUUACGCCUGUGCCCAGAGCCAGCCCUGCCCUGGAGGCGAGGAGAAAGGCCCAGAGCUUUGCCCCUGAUUCCCCCAGCUCCGGCCCACACCACCUGCCAUCCAUGCACGCAAAGCCAGGCCUCUGGAAUUGUGCUGCCAGGCCCUGGGCUGGAAGAGAAAGGGCUGCCAGGGCUUAAGUCCAAGGGAAGCCCACGAGCUUCAUAUUUAGAACUUGAGUCUUUCAAGGUCUGAGUCUAUUUAGACUCCUAGAAACACAACCUCCAUUCCUUAAACAUAACUGGCGAGUGGUGGGUGGGGAGUGCAGGGAGAGAGCAUAAAACAUCUCAUAAAAAGGCUGUGCGUCCUGCUGGACAUCAAAGGGCUCCCAAGGAGUGCAUGCGGAUGAGUUCAGGAUAGAGGAGUCAUCAGCAUAUGGAUUAAAUUCCCUAUUCAUUAUGCAUCCGCCGGAGCAUCAGGAGAAAACUUCACACAGCGUGGCCCCAGUUCAACGAGCUGGAAAACGCUCUGAGUCACGGAGGGACCCCAAAGGCAAUCAGCCACUCCCCACCAUCCUGAAUCUUCUUCCGCUGUGGAAAGACCUACCUCCUGCAGUGCUAGAGGAAACCGGCUGUGCUAAUUCAGAAAGGCUGGCCCUCCUCACCAUGGUCAGCCCCUCCAUGCCUCUCCAAGGUCUGCUGCAGCCCGGCCAGCUCACCCAGAUAUAGCUGGGCCCUCCCCUGUAUUUGGCCCCUCCUGGCUCUCCCCACUGCCACCCCAGGACUGUGACCCUACUGCCCAUCCCUGUCCCUACAACGGCAACCUGGGCCUGCUUGGAGGAGAGGGAGGGGAGAAAGGUGCCCGGCGCCCGUCCAGCAGGCCUGUCCUGCUCAGGCAGGGCUUUCUACUGAUGGAGGACCCGGCACAUCUCUUCCUUAUGCUCAUCCCAGCCCACCUCACAGGCCAACCCCUUUUUAUCUUCAGUAACCUUCUCCUCUUCCAAAGUCAUCCCAGCAUCCAGGCCUUCUUGAAAUCCCCAUGCCCCACAAAGCGCAAGGCCUAAAGUGCUCACUCACCCGCUGUCUAGAGUUAGUGGGAGGCUCUGAUAGCAUGUGCGGCAUUUGGCCAGAGGACCCAGCCAUGCAAGAUUCCUGCUCUGUGAAUUGCUGCACCUCCUCCGGGCUCCUCAGGAGAUGUGUACACAGAAGACCGAUAGCAAGGUGGCCUCAGGAGCCCACUUCAGGAAUGGAGGACUUAGUUCCCCAGCUGUUCAGAUGUCUCCAGCGCUCCCUGUCUUCUUCCUGCAGGCAGGAAGACAGCCCCCUUGCCCAAGGGCACGCCCCUUCCUCAAGGGACACAUCAAUGGCUGAUUGGUGGUGCUGAGGUACAAAGGCUUGGGGACACACCUCCAAUGCAAAUCUCUAUCUCAGCUGCUUCCCAGGGAACCCCACCUGUGACAUACCAAGCAGGAAACUGAGACAGAACCUCUUCACUAAAAACUGGUCUCUCAUCCAGUAUCGCCCCGUGCAGAGUUCCGGGAAAGCUAAGGCACAGAAAGCACCACUUUGGUCCUCCGGAAUGGGGAGGCUGCCUAUCUCCCCACAAGCACAAAUCCACAUCUCUCUGGCCAGCCAUGCCCAAAACCACACACUCUGCAUGCAGAGGAAAGAAACCGCAGUCUGAGAAUAAACUCGGGCGCUCUUCCUGUGCCAAGAGAGACAGACGACAGCAAAGGAGGUGGCCUGUUCACAGCAGGUGCUUUGCAAGUGCAGGACCUUGCCUACCAGCAAAGGUGGCCCACUGGGGGGCUUUGCCAUCUGACUAGAGCAGGAGCUUCUCCUCUCUCAGAGCUGAUGAGUGCACGGAGGGAGGCCCAUGCAGGAAGGAAGGUCUCCUCUUCCCUUCUGAUUUGGAGCUGAGCCCAGGGCUCACCCAAACCAAGUUCCAGGCCCAGCUUCAGAGAGUAUUUUAUGAAGCAGACAUUCACUGCAGUCCUAGGCGCCUUUGUUUUCUCAGCUAUAAAGUGGCACCAGUGGCCCCAUCCCGCUGGCUCAUGGGUUGGGGUGAGGACAUGCUGGGAGAGUAGUGGAAAGGCUCCCCGCACUGUGAGGGGUGCACACACAUGGAACCGACUGUUACGGUGAUGAUGAAUGGUUUUGCCUUCCCCUCCAGAGUCCACUUCUCAGGAGGGCCGGGAUUAGGCUUCACAUCUGGGUUUCCCUCCAGCCAGCAGAACCAGCCUGGACACAGGUGUUCCCCGAAGCUGGCUGGAUGAUGAACUAAGGACUGAAACCAUCAGGAAGACGGAUGAUGACUCGGCGUGGGGCGAGCCUGGACCAGCUGCUAGGGACCUUCACACAGCACUCUUUUCCAUCAACGUUUCACUACUGCUGUCCUAACAUCCACAGCUUGCCGUUGGUUUUCCGUGUUGUUUGUGGCUAGCCUGAGAGUCUGGGAAGGACAGGAAGAGGGAAGCACAGCAAUUGCUCACAGGGGCUCUGUGCACUUUACCUCCCCGAUGGCCUGCAGAAGCAGUGUCACCACUGCGGGGCCAGCACUGUGCUCUGGCACACAGCUGAGCUGGGGGUGGGAACCAGGGCUCGAGCCCAGCCUGUAGUCCACUCCCCAAGCUCUGCCCAGGGGAGCAAUUUUUUCUGGUCACACAAAGAUGCUCUAUAGGUUGGCAGUCCCCAGAUACCUAACCCCUCUGAGGCAUGGUGCCAUUUUACAGAGGAGAAACUGAGGCUCAGAGAAGUUCACUUGCCCAAGGUCACACCACAGGUGAGUAGUGGAGCCAGGCAAGUACACUUUAGGCUGGGCUUGAGCCCUGGCCUCCUGGAGUCCGAUAGACUCUACUCCUUACAGAAUGUGGGUGUGGACUCCACUUCUUACAGAGUGUGGACACUGUGGCCACCUCCACAGAUGUCAGACAGAGGCUCUCUUCACAGGCUGGCUAUGCACAACCCCACCUUACAAUUCAGGCACACAGAUAAUUCCUUACAUGAUGUGUUAUUUACAGUCCUUCUGAUUUCAAGUAAGAGCAGCCAAACGAGCAAAAGAGAAAAACUUUAUUGGAAAGACACUGAGAGACCUGAAGGAAAUGAAAAAUCCCAAAAGAACAGAAUCCAAGAUUGUCCAGGACAGCUCUGAGGAUCUCAGAGUUGGAAAUGGAUUGCCUUUCAUCCAGAACCCGGCAUGAGCUGGACUUGGCUUUCAGUCUCUGUGUUACAUUUCCAGGUUCCUAAGAGAGAAAGCGAGCGUGUUGGGCAACCUGGGUCAAGUGUUUCCUUCAGUGAAUCAUUUCCUGAGGCCAGGGCCCCUGUGACAUCGUGAUUACCUGCAGCCUAACACUGUGAUCACGGGCAGUCACCACGUGGGGGAUGUAUACACCACCCUUAGAUGCAGCGAGAGGGACUACUGCCCAGCCUCCAGGCUUCAGAAGGCCCUGCAUAUUACGAACGCGUGCGCACGCGCACACAUACACACACACCAACACACACUUCUUUAUUUCAUUUUAUUUAUUUAUUUUUUGAGAUGGAGUUUCACUCUUGUCGCCCAGGCUGGAGUGCAAUGGCAUGAUCUCAGCUCACUGAAAGCUUUGCCUCCCGGGUUCAAGAGAUUCUCCUGCGUCAGCCUCCCACGUAGCUGGGAUUUCAGGCAUGUGCCACCACACCUGGCUAAUUUUGUGUUUUUAGUAGAGAUGGGGUUUCUCCAUGUUGGUCAGGCUGGUCUGGAACUCCCAACCUCAGGUGAUCCACCCGCCUAGGCCUCCCAAAGUGCUGGGAGCCACCACGCCCAGCUGCACACACUUUUCAGAAACACACAGGAUCCAGGCCUCAGUGCUGGCAGAUAACGAGGUUAAACAUCAAUUCUCAUGACUGGCAUUGCUCAGGCCCCAGGGAAAUCCAUUUCUUUAUCUCUUGCUUAAUGUCCUCAACAAAAAAGGCAUCUGAAUGCUGGAAAACUUGUGAGUUACACCUAUGCAGAUGUCAGGUAGACACUGCUUCCAAAUGGAAGGAGAAUUUGCAUGGUGGAAGCUCUUCCCUAAGAGAAAAUACAAACUAUUUCACUUGUUAAAUCCUCUCAGCAUGAAUGCAAUAGAUCUUUAAUGACUUAUGUUUAGUAACAAAAUAUUGUUUCCUAGUAACAUUGAGCAUCAAUUUUUCUUCUCUUCCUGUUCCAAUUCAUGAUUCUGAAGGCACCUGAUAGUUAGCAUACUUUCACAAUAGUGGAGUUGAUAUUUCGCAUAAUCAGUUGAGAAAUACAUUGCAGUAUUAAACAGUUCGUUUUGCUCUUCAAUGAGUAUACAUGUAGGUCUACAUUAGAAGUAAUAUGAUGAAGUGUAAUAUCAGUGCUUUCUGUUAGUGACUAGAUGCACGCAGAAUGCCAGAAUUGUGGAUAAUCUUUGUUUUGUAAAAUCACUUAAUAUGACUUUCUUAAAUUUUCAAAAUAUUAAUUAAAAACUUCAGCUUUACUUAAAUAAUUUUACUUAAUUUAAUUUAAUUUACUUAAAUAAAUAAGCUUUUGAUAUCCAUUCAUUAGAGUUGUAUUUUCUCUUUCAAUUGUCAGAGAGAAUUGUGAAUAUUUUAAGGAAGAUGCUUUUUUGAAAACAUACGUUUUUAAAUGUUUUUGAUUCUAUUUACCAUAAUUUAGGAUUUUUUAUAAAAAAAUAAAUUCAAAUUUUGUACACUAAAUGCAAUCACCUUUUUUUUUUUCAUUAUAUAGUCUAGCAUUGACAAACUUUUUCUUAGUGGGCUAGAUAAUAAAUACGGCAGGCAGACAAUAUGGUCUCUACCACAAACAGUCGGCUCUGUCAUUGCAGCAUAAAAGCAGCCACGAUAAAACAUAAGUGACUGUGUGCCUAUGUUCCAAUAAGACUUCAUUUACAAAACUAUUUGUUUAUAUAUUGUUUCAUAUGUAAAAAUUGUUUUGAUAUCGAGAUUAAUAAAAAUGCUCGUUAAUCAACUAUGAACAAAGAUAGAAUGCCAAAUCUGGCUGGGCACAGUGGCUCACGCCUGUAAUCUCAGCAGUUUGGGAAGCCAAAGCAGGCAGAUCACCUGAGGUCAGGAGAUUGAGACCAUCCUGGCUAACAUGGUGAAACCCUGCCUCUACUAAAAAUACAAAAAUUAGCUGGGCGUGGCGGCGUGCACCUGUAAUCCCAGCUACUUGGGAGGCUGUGAGCUGAGAUCAUGCCACCGCACUCCAGCCUGGCAACAGAGCAAGAUGCUGUCUCAAAAAAAAAAAAACACACACACACAAAAGAAUGCCAAAUGCCAAAUCUGGCUAUAGUGUUCACUGAAUAUUAAUAUUCAAAAAUCAGUUUUGAUGAAGUCUUUGGCAAACGUGCAGAAGUUAAAGCUGAAAAUAAAAAUCUGUGAUGUUCUUGAUUACUGUCACAGUCUAAUGCUUUUUAAAAAGAUUCUUCCCCUUUUCAAAAAAAUUUUAAUUCAAACGUAUUAAUACAUGAUCUCUCUUUUGUACAGCAUAUUAAUUUUAUUUUUUAUUUAAGAAAAUGUUUGACCAUCAUGAUCUAUAUAUUACAUAUAUAAAAUUCAAUGAAAGAAACAUUUCACUGUCUGUACCUCUUUUCUUGCCAUUAUUAUUAUCAACUUCAUUUCAUGAUGAUUUUCUGAGACUCCAGUAUAUAAUGGAAGGGGUGUGAAAACAGGAGCCACUCUGGGCCAUGACAUGCUGGAGCGAGCUUGCUGUGGCUCAUGAGAACUGAUGGUGAGGUCUCUUCCCAGUUCUGUGUCCAUAGCUUGAAAUCAGCCACAAUGGGAGUAUUUACACCAUGAAAAUCUACGAACACCACAAAUGAGUCCUGGGGCCCCCAGGGAGCUGGCUGUUAAAUAUUUGCCAGUCCACCUCUGACUCUGCUUCUCAAUAUGCUGGGUACAGACCUGCGUGGGCCCAGUCCUGUUUGGGUCCCUCUUAUGUAGCAAUGGAAUGCUGCGUACUCAGUCUUUCUGUUUGGCAGAGCCGAUAACACCCAGCGAAUAAGGAGAGGUGCAAGGCGCAUGGCUGUCUGUCAUCUUCUGGUCAGGUAUGCAGUUUCUCUCCUUGGGCCCAGUAUUCUGCAAGGAGCUAAUUGACAAAAGGAGACUAGGUGCCUGCUGAACAGAUCAGAGCUUUGCUCUGCAAUCUUAGGGGUUGCUUUGCUCUGCAAUCUUCAGUUAUGAUUCUCUCUCAGUGCUUUCAAAACCCUGACCUACUUAAGAAACUUAGCACCAUUGGAUCUACUGGGUUAUAAGGCACACGGGACAGAGCUGCUUAUAGCCUGGGCCAGCUUAAGAGAUUUCUCUUGCUGUGCGCCCCACCCAGACUGAGGAGCUGAUGGCUUACUCAUAAAUGAGAUGGACGAACACAACACAAUGAAACAGUGUGUGUGCCUUACAAAGCCUAAAGGGUUCUCAAAGCCUCAUGCCUUCUCUUUGUGCAAGGGGAUAAAUUGAAACAACUUCUUCACUUAGUAGCAAAUAUCCCAAUAUGUUCCAGACCACUAGAAUCCCAGAAACUUCAGUGAGGUGGCCUCGUAUUAGUAUGGAGUUUAUCACCUGUCUUACAUCACACAUAUGCCUUAUAAAGGCAUGUAAGUACAUGUUCUUUCUACUUCCCCUGGCCUCCUAGCUUGAUGUCUGCAAUGCUGGAGACUAGCAUUACAUCAUCGGAGAUGGUGACACAAGUACAGUGAAUUGUGCCACCAAGCCAGGAGCCUAAUGGAAUCAGAGAGCAGAUGGUGAAGACGUACUGCUAUCCUUUCCAGGUAAAGUCAAACUACUGAAUUCCUGAUGCUUUUAUGUUCACGGGAAUUUUCUUUAAAUGACCAACUGUGAUGCCAUGGGCUGUGUAAAUUUGUAAAUAUUCCUCAUCUUAAAAUAGCAACUGCAAUUGAGGUUACCACUUGAAUGAGUUUACAAUAA